rnacentral:misc_RNA from 1 species
UGGGCUCUAAAAUCAGGUAAUGACCGCAUGUUCGUAUCUUUAACAGAAGAGAUCAUCCAGCUUCACAGAAUAAUUUUCUACGAACCGCAUAUCAUUUGAAUCACUAUUGAUUCCUUGAUACUCGUGGAACCCUGCCAAACAAGAGUCGAGCUACAGCUGUGGUGGCCAUUAUUACGGCGGUCCGAUACGAUCGAGAUGCGUGGGACGAAAGAUGUGAAGCCGGUCUCGGAACUUUUGAUUACAUAUGCCACUUCCCCGCGGUUACGUAAAAGGCGGGGAUUCGUAUCAGAUAUUUAUUAUGUACCAAACGAUUGGAUGAUGCACGAUGGACGCAACCCGAUGCUUUU